GCCUGGGUGGCUCAGUUGGUUGAGCAACCGACUUCGGCUCAGGUCAUGAUCUCACGGUCUGUGAGUUCGAGCCUCGUGUCAGGCU
rnacentral:tRNA from 1 species